AUCUCAUCACCAAUUGCCUUAGUGAGUCGACUGGCUACAGGAUACCGGAUGCCUCGUCCCGAUCAGUGCUCGGAAGAACUAUAUGAGCUGAUGAAUUCUUGUUGGAAAGAAAAUCCUAUGAUGAGACCAGCCUUUUCAAAGAUCGCCCAACAGCUGAAGAACUUUUUACGAGAAGUGAAGAGGACAUAUACAAAUAUCACAGAGGAAAACGAUUGAGAGGCUUGAUGACGCCCUGAUGCUAAAG